rnacentral:rRNA from 1 species
ACACUCCUACGGGAGGCAGCAGUAGGGAAUCUUCCACAAUGGGUGCAAACCUGAUGGAGCAAUGCCGCGUGAGUGAAGAAGGUCUUCGGAUCGUAAAGCUCUGUUGUUAGAGAAGAACACGUGCUAGGUAACUACUAGCGCCUUGACGGUAUCUAACCAGAAAGUCACGGCUAACUACGUGCCAGCAGCCGCGGUAAUACGUAGGUGACAAGCGUUGUCCGGAUUUAUUGGGCGUAAAGGGAGCGCAGGCGGUCUGUUUAGUCUAAUGUGAAAGCCCACGGCUUAACCGUGGAACGGCAUUGGAAACUGACAGACUUGAAUGUAGAAGAGGAAAAUGGAAUUCCAAGUGUAGCGGUGGAAUGCGUAGAUAUUUGGAGGAACACCAGUGGCGAAGGCGAUUUUCUGGUCUAACAUUGACGCUGAGGCUCGAAAGCGUGGGGAGCGAACAGGAUUAGAAACCCCAGUAGUCCCAUGA